UACGUAGGGUCCGAGCGUUGUCCGGAAUUAUUGGGCGUAAAGAGCUCGUAGGCGGUUUGUCGCGUCUGCUGUGAAAUCCCGAGGCUCAACCUCGGGUCUGCAGUGGGUACGGGCAGACUGGAGUGCGGUAGGGGAGAAUGGAAUUCCUGGUGUAGCGGUGGAAUGCGCAGAUAUCAGGAGGAACACCGGUGGCGAAGGCGGCUUUCUGGACAGAUACCGACGCUGAGGCACGAAAGCUAGGGGAGCAAACAGG
rnacentral:rRNA from 1 species